AUGGGUGGAUCCCAGUUCUGGCAGUCCGUGAUUCAGCUUCUGCCCGUCCUCCGCAUCGGCACGUCCAUCUCGGUUGGCUCCGGUUCCUCGACCCUGUUCUGGUUCGACUGUUGGUUAGGGUACUCCCCCCUGGCUGUGCGAUUCCCAGAACUCUUUGCCAUUGCGGCCGACCCUCGGGUCUCUGUCGAGACGGCCCUUAUUGACAUAGGGCGUCUCGCUUUCCGGCGCCCAUUCGGCCCCCUCGAGGUGGCUGCUUGGGACUCCCUCCUCCAAGACAUCGCCCUUAUACCAAUGAAUGUCGAGGAGGGCCAGGAUGCCCUUUCCUGGCGCCUUGAGCCGUCUGGCCGUUUCUCCACGAAGUCCUUGUACGCCUCCAUCGCGCCCUCGGCGGCCCCGGAACCCUUUAGCCUGAUAUGGGACAUCCGCCUACCUCUGAAGAUCAGGAUUUUCCUGUGGCAAUGGAUCCAUGGACGCCUCCCCUCUAGGGUUGAAGUCCUCAAGCGUAACGGCCCGGGCGAUGGGAUGUGUCCCAUAAGUGGCACGAUCGAGGAUGCUAACCACAUCUUCUUCUCGUGCUCUACUGCCUAG
rnacentral:rRNA from 1 species